CAGGAAGUAGUUUAUUUUUAAAAUAAUAAUUUUGGAGAUUAUUGAAGGGUAAAUGACCCUUUCCUGA
rnacentral:tRNA from 1 species